CCGGUGGAUGCCAUGGCAUUGGCCAGCGUUCGCCACCGUACAAAGUAGUAGCCCAGCGCAGUCACUCCUGCCUGGAAGCUGAAGCAUGAUCCCAGACCUAAAGAUGUUCUGCUAUAAAAUCUCCUAAAUUGCCCUUGGUGUCCUGCUACCUUGGUGGAACUCCAUGCAAGAGAAGGCAGAUUGACUCUGAACUAGAUCAAGAAUGGAAGAAAAGCAGACAUCGUUGAGGAGGAUUAAUUGAAAACUACUGGAGAAGUAUAUUCAUGUCUGCAUGGGAAUCAAUUUAAACUUUAGGCAGUAGCAUCCAAGCUGCAGCUUGUGGAGUCUUGCAUCUGUCCUGCAAGUCAUCUUCCCCAGGAAAAUCACAUGUUAUUGUCAGCACAGCUCUUUGCACAUGCCUGUCCUGGCAUACCCGGGCAGGGGUGGGUAGGUUUAACCGUGUCCACUUCCAAGAGGACAGAAGCCUGGGAGCAGACUGUGCACAUCCUGGCUCCCACUCCUACUCCGGCACAAACACCUCAGAGGAAGGAGCGAGACCCAGGUGGUUCUGAUGGGUCAGAGCCCGCCUCUGCCCUUCUUGGGCAGAAACUUGCAUUUUAUUGUGUACCUACAUUGCUGGCAGGCUUUACUAGGAAGGAGUUCUCUUACUUCAUCAGAAAAAGCAAUGAACAAAUAGGCGUGGAGGUGUGUGUUUAAGGUCAGUUAAUUUUUAAAAUUUCAUAGACUUUUGAUGAAUUCCAUGAGAUUGUGGUAAAUUACCAGUUUGUUAAUGUCAUUUAGCACCCUUCAUCUUGGGGUAGGAAAAGAUUAGUCAGACCUGCCGACCAUCAGUAGGAAAUAUGCUUCUCUGCAUGAUUUGGCAGAAGAGGAUCUGCAGGUAGUUUCUUUUCCUGUUCCUUUGAGGAUCCUCAAAGUUUUCAAGGUUUUAUUAUUUUUUUUUCCCUCUUCUGAACACUUACUGUCAUACAAGCAAAUGCAAAAUGACUAUAAGCUCCAGAAUUAGGAGUCCAUCAGUGUAGAGAAAAUAACCUGUAGCAUAUUUGUGACCUAAAUCAACAUCUGGUUUGAAAUAAAAUCCACGUAGUCAAGUGAACAGUGGAACAUUAUUAAAAUUAGGAGUGCAGCUGUCUGUAUUUUGAUCUGCUUGGGAGAUUUUCACCUCAGACUUCAAAUGGCCUUUGCAAAAGUGUUCAGCUAACUGGUGACUGGAUUAUUUUUCCUCCUGCUGAUGACAUUAAGGAUGGUGCUGCUGUUUAACCAACCCAAGCAGCCAGAAGUCAGAAAUUGAACACUCCAAAAUAAUGAGAUUGUCUCUAAAAAUCAUAAGGGUUUUUCAUUAUUUGUUCCUGUUAACUUGCUUUCUAGGUUUCAAACAUUAUUUCUCACUUGCCUGGGGCUUUUGUGCUUUCCUUCACAAAAAUCAACAAAAGUGCUGCAUUUGUAUGAGUGCAAGUCCAGAGAGUUACAUGCGCAUGAAUAUGUGAAAGCAGGACCCUGUAAGGCUCUGAACUCCCCUUUUGGAGCCAGCCAUAGAAUCCUGAGGUGUCUCAAAUGAUCCUUUUAAUAAAAUAGUCGUUAAUAGCUUUUACCUGGGAACAUAGCAUGAGUAAUAAGAUAUGUUUGGCUUAACUAAGUUGUGAGCUAUUGUUUUCACUGUGCCCUUCCCUGUUCCUUUCCAUAGCUCUGCUGAGCUGAGGUCAGCAAUCCUGCAUGGGACCUUCUCACUGCACUUGACCGCUCAGAAUGGGCUGCUCUGUCCGUUCCCUUCCUGUUUUGUUUUUUUUUUUUUUUCAACAAAUAAUUUUUUUCCCCCUUCAAUUCCUUUGAAUUAAGAAGAAAAAAUAGAAG